CAAUAGCGUAUAUUAAAGUUGUUGCAGUUAAAAAGCUCGUAGUUGGAUUUCUGCUGAAGGCAGCCGGUCCAUGUUCGACAUGCGCAUCUGGAUUGACUUCGGCAUCCUCUCAGAUAACGAUUCUGUGCUUGAUUGCAUGGAGCGGAGUUUGAGACUUUUACUUUGAGGAAAAUAGAGUGUUCACGGCAGGCAAUCGCCCUGAAUAUAUUAGCAUGGAAUAAUAAAAUAGGAUCUUGGUUCUAUUUUGUUGGUUUCUAGAACGAAGAUAAUGAUUAAUAGGGACAAUUGGGGGCAUUCGUAUUAACGCGUCAGAGGUGGAAUUCUUGGAUUGCGUUACGACGAACUACUGCGAAAGCAUUUGCCAAGGAUGUUUNCAUUGA
rnacentral:rRNA from 1 species